AGAGUUUGAUCAUGGCUCAGGACGAACGCUGGCGGCGUGCCUAAUACAUGCAAGUCGAGCGGACUAAUGGGAGCUUGCUCCCGUUAGUUAGCGGCGGACGGGUGAGUAACACGUGGGCAACCUACCUGUAAGACUGGGAUAACUUCGGGAAACCGGAGCUAAUACCGGAUGACAUAAAGGAACUCCUGUUCCUUUAUUGAAAGAUGGCUUUUAGCUAUCACUUAUAGAUGGGCCCGCGGCGCAUUAGCUAGUUGGUGAGGUAAUGGCUCACCAAGGCAACGAUGCGUAGCCGACCUGAGAGGGUGAUCGGCCACACUGGGACUGAGACACGGCCCAGACUCCUACGGGAGGCAGCAGUAGGGAAUCUUCCGCAAUGGACGAAAGUCUGACGGAGCAACGCCGCGUGAGCGAUGAAGGCCUUCGGGUCGUAAAGCUCUGUUGUUAGGGAAGAACAAGUGCUAGUUGAAUAAGCUGGCACCUUGACGGUACCUAACCAGAAAGCCACGGCUAACUACGUGCCAGCAGCCGCGGUAAUACGUAGGUGGCAAGCAUUGUCCGGAAUUAUUGGGCGUAAAGCGCGCGCAGGCGGUUUCUUAAGUCUGAUGUGAAAGCCCCCGGCUCAACCGGGGAGGGUCAUUGGAAACUAGGAAACUUGAGUGCAGAAGAGGAGAGCGGAAUUCCACGUGUAGCGGUGAAAUGCGUAGAGAUGUGGAGGAACACCAGUGGCGAAGGCGGCUCUCUGGUCUGUAACUGACGCUGAGGCGCGAAAGCGUGGGGAGCGAACAGGAUUAGAUACCCUGGUAGU
rnacentral:rRNA from 1 species